CAGUAGCCGCGGUAAUACGUAGGGCGCAAGCGUUGUCCGGAAUUAUUGGGCGUAAAGAGCUCGUAGGCGGUCUGUCGCGUCUGGUGUGAAAUCCCGAGGCUCAACCUCGGGCUUGCAUCGGGUACGGGCAGACUAGAGUGCGGUAGGGGAUACUGGAAUUCCUGGUGUAGCGGUGGAAUGCGCAGAUAUCAGGAGGAACACCGAUGGCGAAGGCAGGUCUCUGGGCCGCAACUGACGCUGAGGAGCGAAAGCAUGGGGAGCGAACAGGAUUAGAUACCCCAGUAGUCCCUGUCUCUUAUAC
rnacentral:rRNA from 1 species